CAAUAGCAUAUAUUAACGUUGUUGCAGUUGAAAAGCUCGUAGUUGAACUUUUGGUAGGAGCGACCUGGCCUUGGGCGCAUGCCCUUGUUUGCCGUGUGUCGUGUCUGGCCAUCCUUUUCUUCGUUUUUCGGAGGAAUCUUUUACUGUGAGUAAACUGGAGUGCUCAAAACAAGACGUUUGUUUGGUACAUUAAAGCAUGGAAUAAUAAGAUAGGACCUGGUUACUAUUUUGUUGGUUUGCAUAGCUAGGUAAUGAUUAACAGGGACAGUUGGGGGUAUUCGUAUUUAAUUGUCAGAGGUGAAAUUCUUGGAUUUAUGAAAGACGAACGACUGCGAAAGCAUUUACCAAGGAUGUUUNCAUUAA
rnacentral:rRNA from 1 species